GGAAUAUUGGGCAAUGGGCGAAAGCCUGACCCAGCAACGCCGCGUGAGUGAAGAAGGCUUUCGGGUUGUAAAGCUCUGUUAUAGGUGACGAAGGAAGUGACGGUAGCCUAUAAGGAAGCCCCGGCUAACUACGUGCCAGCAGCCGCGGUAAUACGUAGGGGGCGAGCGUUGUCCGGAAUGACUGGGCGUAAAGGGCGUGUAGGCGGCUAAAUAAGUCUGGAGUGAAAGUCCUGCAUUCAAUGUGGGAAUUGCUUUGGAUACUGUAUAGCUUGAGUGCGGAAGAGGUAAGUGGAAUUCCCAGUGUAGCGGUGAAAUGCGUAGAGAUUGGGAGGAACACCAGUGGCGAAGGCGACUUACUGGGCCGUAACUGACGCUGAGGCGCGAAAGCGUGGUGAGCGAACA
rnacentral:rRNA from 1 species